GAUGAACGCUGGCGGCGUGCCUAAUACAUGCCAGUCGAGCGAACGGACGAGAAGCUUGCUUCUCUGAUGUUAGCGGCGGACGGGUGAGUAACACGUGGAUAACCUACCUAUAAGACUGGGAUAACUUCGGGAAACCGGAGCUAAUACCGGAUAAUAUUUUGAACCGCAUGGUUCAAAAGUGAAAGACGGUCUUGCUGCCACUUAUAGAUGGAUCCGCGCUGCAUUAGCUAGUUGGUAAGGUAACGGCUUACCAAGGCAACGAUGCAUAGCCGACCUGAGAGGGUGCUCGGCCACGCUGGAACUGAGACACGGUCCAGACUCCUACGGGAGGCAGCAGUAGGGAAUCUUCCGAAAUGGGCGAAAGCCUGACGGAGCAACGCCGCGUGAGUGAUGAAGGUCUUCGGAUCGUAAAACUCUGUUAUUAGGGAAGAACAUAUGUGUAAGUAACUGUGCACAUCUUGACGGUACCUAAUCAGAAAGCCACGGCUAACUACGUG
rnacentral:rRNA from 1 species